rnacentral:rRNA from 1 species
UACGUAGGGUGCAAGCGUUGUCCGGAAUUAUUGGGCGUAAAGAGCUCGUAGGCGGUUUGUUGCGUCGGCUGUGAAAUCCCGAGGCUCAACCUCGGGUCUGCAGUCGAUACGAGCAAACUAGAGUGUUGCAGGGGAGACUGGAAUUCCUGGUGUAGCGGUGAAAUGCGCAGAUAUCAGGAGGAACACCGGUGGCGAAGGCGGGUCUCUGGGCCGUAACUGACGCUGGAGGAGCGAAAAGCCAUGGGGAGCGAACAGG